rnacentral:misc_RNA from 1 species
GAUGAAGAACGUAGCGAAAUGCGAUAAGUAAUGUGAAUUGCAGAAUUCAGUGAAUCAUCGAAACUUUGAACGCACAUUGCGCCCGCCAGUAUUCUGGCGGGCAUGCCUGUUCGAGCGUCAUUUCAACCAUCAAGCCCUGCUUGCGUUGGGGUCCUGCGGCUGCCCGCAGGCCCUGAAAACCAGUGGCGGGCUCGCUAGUCACACCGAGCGCAGUAAUACAUCUCGCUUUGGGCGUGCGGCGGGUUCUUGCCGUUAAACACCCCCUUUUUACCAAGGUUGACCUCGGAUCAGGUAGGAAUACCCGCUGAACUUAAGCAUAUCAAUAAGCGGAGGA